rnacentral:rRNA from 1 species
GAUGAACGCUAGCGACAGGCCUAACACAUGCAAGUCGAGGGGCAGCACGGUGUAGCAAUACACGGGUGGCGACCGGCGCACGGGUGAGUAACGCGUAUGCAACCUGCCUACUACAAGGGGAUAACCCGUUGAAAGACGGACUAAUACCCUAUAACACAGGGAAUCCGCAUGGAUAUAUUUGUUAAAGAUUUAUCGGUAGUAGAUGGGCAUGCGUUCCAUUAGCUUGUUGGUGAGGUAACGGCUCACCAAGGCAACGAUGGAUAGGGGAACUGAGAGGUUGAUCCCCCACACUGGAACUGAGACACGGUCCAGACUCCUACGGGAGGCAGCAGUGAGGAAUAUUGGUCAAUGGACGAGAGUCUGAACCAGCCAAGUCGCGUGAAGGAAGACGGCCCUACGGGUUGUAAACUUCUUUUGUAAGGGAAUAAAUAGUCUUACGCGCUAAGACGUUGCAGGUACCUUACGAAUAAGGAUCGGCUAACUCCGUGCCAGCAGCCGCGGUAAUCACGAG